rnacentral:rRNA from 1 species
CCUACGGGAGGCAGCAGUGAGGAAUAUUGGACAAUGGGCGCAAGCCUGAUCCAGCCAUGCCGCGUGCAGGAAGACGGUCCUAUGGAUUGUAAACUGCUUUUGUACAGGAAGAAACACUCCCUCGUGAGGGAGCUUGACGGUACUGUAAGAAUAAGGAUCGGCUAACUCCGUGCCAGCAGCCGCGGUAAUACGGAGGAUCCAAGCGUUAUCCGGAAUCAUUGGGUUUAAAGGGUCCGUAGGCGGUUUAAUAAGUCAGUGGUGAAAUCUGGUCGCUCAACGAUCAAACGGCCAUUGAUACUGUUAGACUUGAAUUAUUAGGAAGUAACUAGAAUAUGUAGUGUAGCGGUGAAAUGCUUAGAUAUUACAUGGAAUACCAAUUGCGAAGGCAGGUUACUACUAAUGGAUUGACGCUGAUGGACGAAAGCGUGGGGAGCGAACAGGAUUAGAUACCCUGGUAGUCCACGCCGUAAACGAUGGAUACUAGCUGUUGGGCGCAAGUUCAGUGGCUAAGCGAAAGUGAUAAGUAUCCACCUGGGGAGUAACGUUCGCAAGAAUGAAACUUNAAAGGAAUUGACGG